AGCAGAAGAACUAUCAUCAGGUAUCUUAGUGAUUUUUCUAUAUAUGUAUAUCGUGAAGAGCGCUUCUAGGAUUUUAUUGCUGGUUUUUACUAAGCCUAGAAUCAGGUUUCAAAAGUUUCUAUCCAUUCUAUUCAAGUGUAAAUGUAAAAUAAAAUGUUAGUGUGCUGUAUUUUGCUGCAAUGGUAAAGUUUUGUGGUAUUAAUCACGAGAAUCCAAGUUGGAAUUGUGAAAGCAGCAAUUUCAUGUAAAAUUAAUAUUUAAAUUCUCACUUCCUUAAUCCCACUUUGGUGGGGAAUCGUGAUUAAUAGUAGCUUUUCAGUGUAAAGUGCCUUUGUAAGCAUAUUGAAUUAUCUCAAAAUACUGCUAUUUAAAAAUCUAAAUUGCUGAUGAUGCAAUAUUUGGUCUUUCUGUCAUUAUCGUUCCCAAGAAUAGUGAAAGUACUGUAUAUUUACUGUGGUUGUGGUAUUGCUUUUAAUUGUUUGACUGAUGUACUCUUUUAGGGAAGGGUAUCCUAUCCAAAUUUGGGAGGAAGUCAUCCAUGCUUGAUGAAAACCGCCGUGCUACUUAUAACAUAUCAAAUCAACCUGUGGCCAGAUCAGAAUCUAUUUUUACAACAUUUGAGGGUGAAAUCAAACAGCUGGUUGCUAUUAUUCCUACGCUAGGAGCUUGGC
rnacentral:misc_RNA from 1 species